rnacentral:rRNA from 1 species
GACGAACGCUGGCGGCGUGCUUAACACAUGCAAGUCGAACGGAAAGGCCCUGCUUUUGUGGGGUGCUCGAUUGGCGAACGGGUGAGUAACACGUGAGUAACCUGCCCUUGUCUUUGGGAUAACUUCAGGAAAAUGGGGCUAAUACCGGAUAGGAGCUCUUGCUGCAUGGUGGGGGUUGGAAAGUUUCGGCGGUUGGGGAUGGUCUCGCGGCUUAUCAGCUUGUUGGUGGGGUAGGGGCUUACCACGGUUUUGACGGGUAGCCCGCCUGAGAGGGGAGCCGGCCACCUUGCGACUGAGAUACGGCCCAGACUCCUACGGGAGGCAGCAGUGGGGAAUAUUGCACAAUGGGCGGAAGCCUGAUGCAGCAACGCCGCGUGCGGGAUGACGGCCUUCGGGUUGUAAACCGCUUUCGCCUGUGACGAAGCGUGAGUGACGGUAAUGGGUAAAGAAGCACCGGCUAACUACGUG